rnacentral:tRNA from 3 species
GCCGCGUUCGUCUAGAGGCCUAGGACGCCGCCCUUUCACGGCGGUAGCACGGGUUCGAAUCCCGUACGCGGUACCA